rnacentral:rRNA from 1 species
GACAGAGGGUGCAAACGUUGUUCGGAAUUACUGGGCGUAAAGCGCGUGUAGGCGGCUUUGCAAGUCGGGUGUGAAAUCCCCGGGCUCAACCUGGGAACUGCAUCCGAGACUGCAUUGCUAGAGUAUGGGAGAGGGAAGCGGAAUUUCUGGUGUAGCAGUGAAAUGCGUAGAUAUCAGAAGGAACAUCAGUGGCGAAGGCGGCUUCCUGGACCAAUACUGACGAUCAGGUGCGAAAGCGUGGGGAGCAAACAGG